AUGCACAGAUUUGAGUUCCCUUCAAAAUCACAUCAUCAUGCUGUCAAGUUGGUGAUUACGGUGUCUCUUAAUCUUAAUUUGAGUCUCAGCCUGUUUGGAUUUCAGAAAGCAAAACCAGGAGUCAUGCUUCCAUGUACAAGUUACUACUAUCUCUCUGCCAUAUCAACCAGGGCAUUGGAUGGUUGUGUUCUGCUGAUCGUUCACAAGUUGACCAGAAGAAGCCAGUCCAAAAACUCCCUUGCGACGACGCCAUGCACAAAUGGUAGGCGGACCAGAUCCAUAGGCCCGGACAGAUGGAAUUCACAUGCGCUUCUUCAGAAAUCAGGAUGGUCAGGUUGA
rnacentral:rRNA from 1 species